UGACGUCGCGGGCGGGGCGCUGAAGGAGAGGCUCGCGCGCAGAAAGACGGCCGGAGGGACGCGGACGCGGCACUGAGGAAGCUGAGAGUGAAGUGAACGGGCGCUCGGAAUUGCAGUGGGCGGCCCUCAAGGCGGAGGUGGGGGCGGUGUUGUGUGUACUACAAUCGCUAACCGGAAAAGGCGAGUAGACCUGAUUAGAUUAAAAUGAGGAAAACAAAACAAAACUUCAGAGAGAAACCGACUGGGAGGAAACGACCGAGAGGCGUGUGGUGGCCGGAAAGCUGGUGUCCAGAGCGUCCCUGGACUCCUGGAGAAAAGCACGGUGGGAAGUGGGGGAAAGAGUUGGAAAGGUGCUUUAAAACGAAGAAGUCCAGGAGGCCGGUCAACACCGAAGGCUCUGGAGCGCAGGGCUAACCCGGACGCGCUAAAACCACAGGGACUGGCUUUUCAGGAAGAAAAGUUAUGACCAACCUAGACAGCAUAUUAAAAAGCAGAGACAUUCCUUUGCCAACAAAGGUCAGUCUAGUCAAAGCUAUGAUUUUUCCAGUAGUCGUGUAUGGAUGUGAGAGUUGGACUUUAAAGAAAGUUGAGCCCAGAAGAAUUGAUGCUUUUGAACUGUGGUGUUGGAGAAGACUCUUGAGAGUUCCUUGGACUGCAAGGAGAUCCAACCGGUCCAUCCUAAAGGAAAUCAACCCUGAAUAUUCCAUUGGAAAGACUGAUGCUGAAGCUCCAAUACUUUGGCCACCUGCGAAGAACUGACUCACUUGAAAAGACCCUGAUUCUGGGAAAGAUUGAAGGCGGGAGGAGAAGGGGAAGAAAACAGGAUGAGAUGGUUGGAUGGCAUCACCAAUGCAAUGGAUAUGAGUUUGAGCAAGUUCCGGGAGUUGGUGAAGGACAGAGAAGCCUGGCGUGCUGCAGUCCAUGGGGUCGCAAAGAGUCCGACACCACUGAGCGACUGAACACUUCAGACAGACUACACGCGCUGGCUUGACAAAAGCCUCAGGUUCCUGUGGUCCCCAAGUUCCGUGGCUGUGGGAGGAGACAGGCUUGUGCUCGCUCCCCGAGCUGUGCUACCUACUGCAGGCGGCAGGGGAGCAAAGGCCCCUGAGGUCCCGUCCGAAUCAUCUUGGAUGCUCAUCUUCCCACGAAACCUCCCUAGGAGGAGGGGUGACACCAAGAAGAAGGAGAAAAGCUGGAAGUGGAGUCGCUGCUGGGACCUGCAGGUGUGGAGACCCUGAGGCCGGCUGGGAGCCCAGGGAUGCAAGUGGGUCCAGCAAGUGCGGUUCAAGGCGCCUUCACUUGACAUCCCUGUCAGUGCAGCUCAGGAGCCUGCCCUUAGGGUUCAGAGCUGCUCGGCCCUGUGAUGCACGAGGCUCCCUGGGCUUUGAUGUCAGGUCAUCUGGAGGUGCCCUCUCCCUUCCUCAGGUGCCAGCAGCCUGGCAUGUGGCCAGACCUGAGGCCUCGGCACCGCCCUCUCUGGUUACCUGGCAUGAGAGGCAGAAUGCUCAGGUGGCUCAGUGCCCAGGACACAAACUCCUCUGAGGAGCUCCCCACCUUGAAGGAGCGGCCAGAUCCCACAUUUUCAGCUCUACACUCAACUUGCAAGUACACUGAGUCAUGUUCACGGAUCACCCAGGUGAGAAAGCAUCUUCUCCUCAGACCUCACCUAUACAGAGGAGUGAUCACUGGUUGGACUGAUCUUUCAAGACCAUUCUUUAUGAUUGCUUAUUUCCUGAAAUGUUUUAUUUUUUAUUAAAAUCACAAUAAUAAUUGUACAAAAUUCAGAAGAAAAUAUCAAAGUGAAAGAAGAAUUUUUAAAAAUUAUCCAUAACCCUGUCAGGUAUAGUAAUAACCACUGUGACUGUUUUGGUGUUUUUCAUUCAUUUUGUGUGGAUACACAUAUAUUAAAUA